rnacentral:tRNA from 2 species
GGUCGGCUGGCUCAAUGGUAGAGCGUCACUCUCCUAUUGAUCAAUGAUCAAAGUGAAGGCUCUGGGUUCGAGUCCCAGGUCGAUCG